rnacentral:rRNA from 1 species
GACGAACGCUGGCGGCGUGCCUAAUACAUGCAAGUUGAGCGCUGAAGGUUGGUACUUGUACCGACUGGAUGAGCAGCGAACGGGUGAGUAACGCGUGGGGAAUCUGCCUUUGAGCGGGGGACAACAUUUGGAAACGAAUGCUAAUACCGCAUAAAAACUUUAAACACAAGUUUUAAGUUUGAAAGAUGCAACUGCAUCACUCAAAGAUGAUCCCGGGUUGUAUUAGCUAGUUGGUGAGGUAAAGGCUCACCAAGGCGAUGAUACAUAGCCGACCUGAGAGGGUGAUCGGCCACAUUGGGACUGAGGCACGGCCCAAACUCCUACGGGAGGCAGCAGUAGGGAAUCUUCGGCAAUGGACGAAAGUCUGACCGAGCAACGCCGCGUGAGUGAAGAAGGUUUUCGGAUCGUAAAACUCUGUUGGUAGAGAAGAACGUUGGUGAGAGUGGAAAGCUCAUCAAGUGACGGUAACUACCCAGAAAGGGACGGCUAACUACGUGCCAGCAGCCGCAGUAA